UAAUUAUAUGUUUGGCAGUAGCACGAUGUUUGUUAAUAUUAUAUUCAUUAUAAUUAAAAAUUAUUAUAACGAGUUACACAUUUUUUGCGACAGCAUAUUUAGCCUACAUACAAAGCCUACGUAUUAUUUUCUAGAGUUUGUAAGUUCUGUAAGUGCAGGAUUUGUUUGCUACAUUCAGGACAUUUACUUUCACGGUUAAGAUUUAAUUUUGUGUAGCUCUCGUAACAUUGUUUUUGAAUUAAUAGCGUUGGCAUGCCCGGUUUUACUAGGAACAUGUCUUGAUAUUCCGGUAUAUUUAGAGAGAGAAAAAAUUAAAUAAAUAACAAAAAGUAUAUUUUUAGAUUAACCAGCAGGAAAGUAUCAAUGUGAACUGACUGCAAAGGAUUGUUUUAAAAAUACAUAUGUAAGAAUUAGUCAAUACUUGUAUCUUAGUGUUGUUAAAAUAACAAAAAAUAUGUCUCAGUAAACUGACAGCCAUGUAUAUAAAGAAAAUAGUUAUCUGGUGAUUGCAUUACCUCUGGUAGUGAUAUUAGGGACAUUACUGCUCAUGCAAUUUAUUUAUUUUAUUUUAUUUAUUUAUUUAUUUUAUUUACAGUGUUUACUGUUUAUCUUGUGGGCACAUCAUGUGUAAAGGAAAAAUUAAAAGAUAAAAAAAUCUUGAUAAAAUAAAAGAUAAAAUUUGAAUUUAAACCUCAGCAUAUGCACCACAGAAAUGAACCCUUUCAUCCUGAACACAUAUGAAUAAUCUUGCCUGUCUGCAUGAGACAACUGUCAUAAUAUCUGGCCUCUCCUCAACAUCUGUGGGCCUCCAAACUUGGUGCUGGUCCAAAUAUGGAUCCCCAGGAUUGGGAGGCUUUCCAAGGCACUUGGUGAUGAGAGCAAGGUCGUCCACGGACAUGUCCAAGAGCCAAAGCUCUACACCUGGUCCAUUCAGCCUAUACAGCACAUGAACCAAACCUCAGAGCCACGCGACCACUUCUCUGCUUGCCUUGUAUUUGACAGGUCCUGUUUAAAUGGCUCUAAACGCAGGUCUGGACUUCUAAUAGAAAACACUCCAUCCGUGUGGCAAAUGUUCAGAAGCAUUUGCAGGUUGGGCUUUGACAUGAAAGGAUGUCAGUGUCUUAUAUAAUAGCAGUUUGAUCUAAAAAAAAAAAAAAAAAAAAAAAAAAACAUGUCUUCUUCAGUCUUCUUUAACGAGGAGAGUAGACACAGUUAAUGUACAGACGGUAUGCAUGUUCUGUUAACCAGUGUUGUUGGUAGAUGUACAAGACCUUGUAAAUAAACUGAAAAAUUAUGAGUAAUACAAAAGUUAUUUUACUUUAUUUUAUGUAAUAUUAAGUAUUUUAGAAUAAUUUGAUAUACACUGCAGCAACAUGAGAAAAAUAAAAAUAAAAAAUAAAAAUAAAUAAAUAGCUUUUAGGGUAGUGGGAUAUCACAGGUCAAAUGUACAAUAGAAUAAAUAUAUUCAUAUAUAUAUAUAUAUAUAUAUAUAUAUAUAUAUAUAUAUAUAUAUAUAAACUUUUAUAUUAUUGUAUUAAUAUCUGGCAGUAAAAAAUUA
ensembl:lncRNA